rnacentral:rRNA from 1 species
CCUACGGGAGACAGCAGUAGGGAAUUUUCGGCAAUGGGGGGAACCCUGACCGAGCAACGCCGCGUGAACGAAGAAGUUAUUCGUAAUGUAAAGUUCUUUUAACAGGGAAGAAAGAGAAAUUUGACGGUACCUGAAGAAUAAGCUCCGGCUAACUACGUGCCAGCAGACGCGGUAAUACGUAGGGAGCGAGCGUUAUCCGGAACUAUUGGGCGAAAAGGGUGCGUAGAUGGCAUAGUAAGUCUUUUGUAAAAAUGCUGGGCUCAACCCAGUAGGGCAAAAGAUACUGCAAAGCUAGAGUAUGACAGAGGUAAGUGGAACUACAUGUGUAGCGGUAAAAUGCGUAAAUAUAUGUAAGAACACCAGUGGCGAAGGCGGCUUGCUGGGUCGAUACUGACAUUGAGGCACGAAAGCGUGGGGAGCAAACAGGAUUAGAUACCCCAGUAGUC